CCCGCCGGCGUGGGCGACUGGUGCGCUCGCUCGCGCUGGAGCUCGUCCUAGCCCACCUGGUGCGGUGCGGCUCGCCAUGGCCUGCCGUCGUACGGUGCGGCUGCGACCCUGUCUCUUCCUGUUGAGCACGAAGGAGCCUUCUCAUUCUUGCAACCUACGUACACACAGAGAACGAAAGAGUACUCAUAUCAUACAGAAAAUGCAUGUAAGAUUGUAUCUUCAGGCACACAUAUAUCUUCAACUGAAGCAAAGCAAAUUCAUACAUAUGCACAUGAUAUCCCUGCAAGGAUGUGACAAGUGUAUCGAGAAUUAAUAUCAAGCAAGAAAAAAGGAUGAGUUGCAGAUUUAGUGAGGUGAGAUAGGGCUGACCUGUAACUCACCAAUCGCUGAAACAAAACUUGUGAUCAACUUCCUCCCUUUAGUAACAUCCA
rnacentral:lncRNA from 1 species